UACAGAGGUCUCAACCGUUGUUCGGAUUUAUUGGGCGUAAAGGGUGCGUAGGUGGUGAUGCAAGUCGGGUGUGAAAUCCCGGAGCCUAACUCCGGAAUGGCAUUCGAAACUGCAUCGCUCGAGGUCUGGAGAGGUGACUGGAAUUCUCGGUGUAGCAGUGAAAUGCGUAGAUAUCGAGAGGAACACCAGAGGCGAAAGCGAGUCACUGGACAGAACCUGACACUGAGGCACGAAAGCCAGGGGAGCAAACGGG
rnacentral:rRNA from 1 species